UAUCUCUGUAGAGUCUGCAUAUCAAUAAGCGGAGGAAAAGAAACUAACUAGGAUUCCCUUAGUAACGGCGAGUGAAGCGGGAAGAGCUCAAAUUUGAAAUCUUCAAGGUUCUACCUUGACGAAUUGUAGUUUAAAGAAGUGUUUUCUGUUGGAGUUUUGGUAAAAGUUCUUUGGAAUAGGACAUCAUAGAGGGUGAGAAUCCCGUAUUUGACCAUUAUUUCCAGCUUUGGGAUACACUUUCAAAGAGUCGGAUUGUUUGAGAAUGCAGUCCAAAAUGGGUGGUAAAUUUCAUCUAAAGCUAAAUAUUGGCGAGAGACCGAUAGCGAACAAGUACCGUGAGGGAAAGAUGAAAAGAACUUUGAAAAGAGAGUUAAACAGUACGUGAAAUUGUCAAAAGGGAAGCGUUUGACACCAGUGUUGUUUUCUCGAAAAUCAAUUAAAAAAAGUUGGAUUUUGUAUUGUUAAGACCUUAUCAGCUUACUGUACUCUUUUCUUGCUUUUUUUAAUGCACUUUUCGUUUAACAAGUCGACAUCAAUUUCUUUUGUUGUAAAAGGGUCAUUGGAAGGUGGCUUUCUUUUCGGAGAAAGUGUUUAUAGCCUUUGGCCUCUGCAAUCGGAGAGAUUGAGGUCUGCAGCGUAGAUCCUUCGGGGUUAGAUACAUUUGUGCUAAGUUAUAACCUUUCAUAGACAACUUGUUGACUAUGAUCAGUCAUGUAGCUUACUCGCUUAUGCUAUUUUACCUACGCUUAGGAUGUUGAAGAUGUAGCACAUCAU
rnacentral:rRNA from 1 species